CAUCAAAGAGCACAAGACCGGAUGAUUCUGCAGGUGUGAUUGUGACUUCCUCCAGUUCAAACAAACGAUGAAGUACUCGUACAAAAAUUUUCGAAGCUCGAAGCCCAAACAAAAAUGACUUAACGCAGCUGAAAAUGCCGGUAGCAAAAAUUCGGGCGCAACACAGUGGUGGCAGACUGGCAGUGUGGCAAAAGGCAGUUAAGUUCUUAUAUCAUGAAUUAUCCCCGUAAAUUAGUAAAUCAUUAUUGUAUACCAUUUAACAGGAAGCCAAUAACAGGUAAUUUGUCUGAAACCGACACUCAGUUUGUCGAGGGGAAACAGGGGCGUUGGGAUAUGUGCAAGAUAAAGUAUACGAACCUGGAACACCCCGUCAGACUCGACGAUACAAGUGAUAAUAGCGGAAUUCGAUAAGUACACAGCAAGAAUAUGCGCUUAUGGUUUUCGAGAACUCGUCAAUGAACGCAAGGCAGUGCGGAAAAUGUGCGAAAAGAAAGGCAUUUUCGAUUUCCCGGUUACAUAAUCGUGAGUCGUGCGCGUGGAUAUCACGAUAUCCGAAGUGGAGUGAAAUGAGGCGGCACUGGAAGUCAGACUGAAGGAAGUGCAAAGGGAGUCUGAGAAGGAAGCGGAAGUGCGGAAUAGAAAGCCGCGAUAUUAACACCCGCACCGGAAGUGCACGGUUGCCGACGUAAGAAUUCCGCCUAGUGCGUUUGCCAUUGUGGCGGAUGAAUAGACUGCUGGUAGAAUGUCUUUGUGCGUAGUUUUUAAUGGAGGUAUGCGUUAUGGCUUGCAUCUAGAAAAAUGGGCAGCUUUUUUGUAAAAAAAUGGAAAAGUCGAAGGUUUUUCUGUAAGUACCUAAAGAUUGAUUUGUUUGUAUUAUGGUUUUACAUCUUUUAGUUUUGCGGG